UACGUAGGUGGCAAGCGUUGUCCGGAUUUACUGGGCGUAAAGGGUGCGUAGGUGGAUAUUUAAGUGGGAUGUGAAAUACCCGAGCUCAACUUGGGUGCUGCAUUCCAAACUGGAUAUCUAGAGUGCAGGAGAGGUAAGUGGAAUUCCUAGUGUAGCGGUGAAAUGCGUAGAGAUUAGGAAGAACACCAGUGGCGAAGGCGACUUACUGGACUGUAACUGACACUGAGGCAUGAAAGCGUGGGGAGCAAACAGG
rnacentral:rRNA from 1 species